GACGAACGCUGGCGGCGUGCCUAAUACAUGCAAGUCGAGCGGACAGAAGGGAGCUUGCUCCCGGAAGUUAGCGGCGGAGGGGUGAGUAACACGUGGGCAAGCUACCCCGUAGAUCGGGAUAACGUGGAGAAAUCGGUGCUAAUACCGGAUAAUCAUUUGAAGUGCAAGCUGCGAAUGAAAAAGUUGGCUUCGGUACCCACUACGGGAUCGACCCGGGGCGCAUUAGCUUGUUGGUAAGGUAAGGGCUUACCAAGGCAACGAUGCGUAGCCGACCUGACAGGGUGAUCGGCCAAACUGGGACUGAGACACGGCCCAGACUCCUACGGGAGGCAGCAGUAGGGAAUCUUCCGCAAUGGACGAAAGUCUGACGGAGCAACGCCGCGUGAGUGAUGAAGGUUUUCGGAUCGUAAAGCUCUGUUGUUAGGGAAGAACAAGUGCCGUUUGAAUAAGGCGGCACCUUGACGGUACCUAACCAGAAAGCCACGGCUAACUACGUGCCAGCCGCCGCGGUAAAAC
rnacentral:rRNA from 1 species